CUAGCCCACCUGCAGCUCCCGUUCCUCCAACAGAACAGCAUUUCUACAUCAGGCACACCUUACCUAUCGACUGCUGCUUGCGGGACCAGAAAAACAAGCCGAGCAUGACAGCCACACACGCCGCAAACAGUUACCAAGGGCUUGUCGACAACAAGUAAAAGGGGUUCAAAUAAAGAUCAUCAACAAGCAGGGAAAGGCAGUGCUCAGAAGUAAAAUAUCGUCUUUCCAACUCGGUUGAAUCAUCAGAGACUGAAGUUCACACAGCAACAUAGGUUUCACCUUUCUGUGAAGAUCUUGGCGAUCACAUCCACAUGUGAAUUCCUCAUCAAAUCCUGAGCAAGAAUCCAACAUCCAACUAUAAGCUGCCAUCCACUCUGCAGAGAAGAGGAUCUGGUGCAGCCUUCCAUCUCUCACAGAACUGUUCAACUCUAGACUCUAAAACUUGCAGUCAAUAUCACAGGUGAUGUCUCUUAUCAUAUACGCUCCCAAGGGGAAGAAGGAUCAUUGGGUUUUUUUUUUUACAUUGUGUACUGUACUAUAGCUCUAGUUUGUUUGGUUAAUGUUUUUUUUUUUCUACAUUCUCACUUUAACAGCCACAUUUGACAAGAAAUAUUCCCAGUGUCAAAUGUUUCUUUAUAAAUCCUGGUAGGAAAUUUGUUCCUGAUCAUGGAAAAACUAAGUACACAAGAAUACAAAUGUGUUUUUACACUGACAGUCCAGUAGAUGGCAUUAAAGACUUGUUAUUUUUAAUUCUACAAUUUUAGUUAUACAAUAUAUUACUCCAUGGAGUGAUUACAAACUUACCAGCUGUUUUCAAACUGAUAAAAGUAUUUAUUGUCAUAAGAUACCAUAAUUUCUCUUUGUUAUGUGUGUCUACUAAUUUAUCACAAGGCGAUAUUUAACUUUCCUUCUUUAUUUGGACAUUUUACGCCUUAAGAACCCACUGUGACAUCAACGAAACAGAAACAUAUUAAAAAUGUGCUCUUUGAA